rnacentral:lncRNA from 1 species
GGCAGAAGCGAAGGGGGUAAAAGCGAGCUCUGGAUCUUUCAGAUGCAUGGCCGUGAACCUACACGGGCCACCUGUAAGAGGACACACACUCUGAUGACCAAGAGGAAGAGCAGGAGUGUGGCGUCGUUGAGGCAAUGAAAUAGCCAGUUUUGCUCCAGUGUGAUAGAUGAGGAGAGAAACGGAAUUUCAGCAUCAUCUGCGGAGUCUUGUUGACCACUAACACCUCCCUUGGAGGCAGAUGCACGCCAAUGCUCAUAUUCGCCCUGCCCCAGGCAGUUAGAAAUUUGUGCUCCAGUCCUUGGGUUCACACUUGCACCCUGUUUGACAUAAAUACUUUAAAUGAC